rnacentral:piRNA from 1 species
UAGGGCAUUUUGUCACAACGGCAGACAGCU